UUCUUCAACAGUUAAAAUGCUCUUUUUCAGAAUCUGCAGACAAGUGUGGGCCUCCUCCACCAAUUAACUAUGGAGCCAUCACCUCCAUCCCAUCGGAAGGGUACCCUCCUUGGUCAAGAGUGGAAUACCAAUGCCAGGACUACUAUGAACUCCGGGGUCCUCAAUAUGUAACCUGUAGUUCUGCAAAGUGGUCCAAACCCCCAAGAUGCAUAGUUCCAUGUGUAAUAUCAGAAAAAAUCAUGAAUGCAAAGAACAUACAGAUAAAACGGAAAAAUGACAAAACCUAUUAUG